rnacentral:rRNA from 1 species
CUCGUGUCGUGAGAUGUUGGGUUAAGUCCGUAACGAGCGCAACCCUUGUCCUUAGUUACCAGCACGUUAUGGUGGGCACUCUAAGGAGACUGCCGGUGACAACCGGAGGAAGGUGGGGAUGACGUCAAGUCAUCAUGGCCCUUACGGCCUGGGCUACACACGUGCUACAAUGGUCGGUACAAAGGGUUGCCAAGCCGCGAGGUGGAGCUAAUCCCAUAAAACCGAUCGUAGUCCGGAUCGCAGUCUGCAACUCGACUGCGUGAAGUCGGAAUCGCUAGUAAUCGUGAAUCAGAAUGUCACGGUGAAUACGUUCCCGGGCCUU